ensembl:lncRNA
AUGGAUGAAUCCUUGGCGGUCUGCCCAAUCUGUCUUGCAUCGUACCCAGCUGAUGUUCUCCCAUUUCAUGCAAGCACAUGUGGUGACGGAAUGAACUGUGCUCAACCCAGCGUAGCAGCCAGUCCCCCAAGGGGAGAAGAAUUGCCAGGACCCUCAAGGGGAGAAGAAUUGCCAGGACCCUCAGUUCCACAAUCGUCAGCAGCUUCAACCUGGGCCACUGAAGUCGACCCCCAAAAAGCAUGCCAGUUGUUCAGAGAAGAUUUACUGAACCGUUACUCUGAAAGUCCACGCCUCUCUCUAUCACUCGACAUGUUUGAUGCAGAAGAAGAACAGGACAGUGCAUUCAUUUCAUUCUAUAAGCAGAAUAAUGUGAACUGGGCAGCUCCAUUCAAGUGCAGGCUGAGAGGAGAUGCAGCAGUGGGUGAUGGUGUCAACAGACAUGUUUUGUCAAUGGCCAUGCAGAAAUUGAAAACUGGCUUCAGAAUAAAUUUAGGCUCUGCUGCUCCUACAACCCUUUUUGAGGGGGAAAAAGAACAUCGGGUUCCCUCUGCAGCUGCUGUCCUGCGGGAAAGCAACCUAUUUGAGAUGGCAGGUCGUAUGAUCGGCCAUUCUUUCCUGCAUGGUGGGUCCAGCUUCUCUGGACUCAGUUUGCCUGUGGUGACCCUAUUGACUGGUGAGAGCAUCGACACUGCAGCAUCAGCUCUGACGCUGAAGGACUGUCCUGAUAUUGACCAUCGUGAAACAGUUGGUUUGGUGAGUAACUUGGUUACACAUUGCACAUUUUGUACGAAUUACUACAUUUUUGUUUAUGUCACACACGUGUCUGUGCCAAGACAUUUUGUAAUCUGUGAUUUCCAAAGCUUUUGGUGUUUGUUAUUUACUCCAAAUGUUAGUUUUUUUUUUUUU